AAGGAAGUUUUUAAUUAUGUAUUUUUUGUUUGUUUGUUUAGGGGAGGAAUAUUCUUGAAACAGAUCAUCCAGAAGGUCCUUUUGGCACUAAGCUCAAUUCCCUCAAAGGAGACGAAGGAAAGCGACAACUCCAUUUUAUUUGUGUGUGACUCCAUUUCUCUGUUUUAAGAAAAUGAAGAAGGUUUCAAACUUGCAAAAGAAGACGGCUGCCGCACAAAAGGGUGAACAAGUUACCGCCAAUUUUCGGUUGCCUCUAUUUAGAUCCAGUGCU